GUAGGGAAUAUUGGACAAUGGGCGAAAGCCUGAUCCAGCAACGCCGCGUGUGCGAUGACGGCCUUCGGGUUGUAAAGCACUUUUAGAGGAGAUGAGAAAGGACAGUAUCCUCUGAAUAAGCCUCGGCGAACUACGUGCCAGCAGCCGCGGUAAAACGUAGGAGGCUAGCGUUAUCCGGAUUUAUUGGGCGUAAAGCGCGUGCAGGCGGUUUAUCAAGUUGGAUGUGAAAGCUCCUGGCUUAACUUGGAGAGGUCGUUCAAAACUGAUAGACUAGAGAAUGGUAGAGGGAGGUGGAAUUCCGGGUGUAGUGGUGAAAUGCGUAGAUAUCCGGAGGAACACCAGUGGCGAAAGCGGCCUCCUGGGCCAUUUCUGACGCUAAGACGCGAAAGCUAGGGUAGCAAACGGGAUUAGAUACCCCGGUAGUCC
rnacentral:rRNA from 1 species